GCGGCCGCAGCGGGCCGGGCCGGGCCGGCGGGCCGGGGGAUGGCGCUGCUGGACCUGGCCCUGGAGGGAAUGGCCGUCUUCGGUUUCGUCCUCUUCUUGGUGCUGUGGCUGAUGCAUUUCAUGGCUAUCAUCUACACCCGAUUACACCUCAACAAGAAGGCAACUGACAAACAGCCUUAUAGCAAGCUCCCAGGUGUCUCUCUUCUGAAACCACUGAAAGGGGUAGAUCCUAACUUAAUCAACAACCUGGAAACAUUCUUUGAAUUGGAUUAUCCCAAAGUAAGUUCAUUGUUACGGUUUUUUGUUUUGUUUUGUUCCCCUCAUGAUAAACAUUUAGGGAUUUUAACACUGUAUAAGGUGAAGGUAUUAAAAAUUCAUGAUGAUAUUGGCCUCAUAAAAUAUAACCUUUAGUAGUAGUCAUCACAGAACAGAAAUAGGUUGAGGAAGGGGUGUAAAUUCCCUUUCUAACCACCUAUAUGUCCGUGUGAAGUAGAGAUCCCUGAGUAAACCUUCUGA
rnacentral:sRNA from 1 species